UACGUAGGGUGCAAGCGUUGUCCGGAAUUAUUGGGCGUAAAGAGCUCGUAGGCGGUUUGUCGCGUCUGCUGUGAAAACGCGGAGGCUCAACCUCGCGCCUGCAGUGGGUACGGGCAGACUGGAGUGCGGUAGGGGGAGAUUGGAAUUCCUGGUGUAGCGGUGGAAUGCGCAGAUAUCAGGAGGAACACCGAUGGCGAAGGCAGAUCUCUGGGCCGUAACUGACGCUGAGGAGCGAAAGCGUGGGGAGCGAACAGG
rnacentral:rRNA from 1 species